CCCGCUGCAGCCGAUGGCUGCGCCCGCCUCGGGCUCCAGACGCCGGCACGUCGCCUGGUUGCUGUCUGGACUUGAAUUUUGGCCCUUAGUUAAUCUAAUUUCCUUUGAAUUCACUUUCGCCAACCAUCGCUCAUGAGGCCUUCUGACACGUUUGAAAACCGCAGGUGAACUGCGCUAGUACUUUGAAAGUUUUAUAAUCCUCUUUAAAAAAGAUUUUAUAAUCGUUUUUUUUAAGAAGACACAUGAAAAAGCCUCCUUGAGCAGCUGUGUUUACUAUCAAGACUGCUGCUGGGCAUGGUUUCCGUGCGAGUGUUUUGUAUACCACCUAUCUUUCAGCGCAGACUGAGGAAAUGUUGAUGCUUAAAUAGAAGGCCCAGAAGUCUGUCUUGGCGGCACCGGCACGUCGAUUCUGAAAGGUGGCGAUCCCGUGCGAGGAUAAAUGACUCUGCUUCCAUAAAAUGACAACAAAAUUAAAGGACAUCUUGGAAAGCCAGAAGAAAAAUUACAGCAGAAGAGGGGAAGGAAGUGGUCCCCGCCGGGGCCGGGGCGAGCGCGAGCUCCCGGGCGAGGAGCCCCUCCUGCCCCGACGGUCACGCUGCACGCAGCUGCCCACCGCCGCAGCAAAGAACUGGUUCACGCCGUGCUGUAAAACGUGCUCCCGGUUUAGGGCUUCUGGCCGCCUCGGCGCGACCCGGCGACCUGCAGCCGCGCUGCUUGUUUCAGAGCGAUCUGUUCCAGAUACACCUUGCUUUAGCCUGAAUAUUGAUGACACCUGAAUCUUUACCUGUGCAAAGCACAUCGCACCGCUACGGAUGUGCUUCGAAACUAACAGGCUGCUCGGCACGGCAGCGCCGUCGGCUCGGUGCUUAGGCAGCGAUUUGUCGCAGGUGAGAUUUUGCGCAGACCUGCUCUGUACCUAAUUAACAUGACAGGGAAUUGGUUUCGCUAAUUUACUUUUUCUGCCAUAAAAGUUUACAGGAAAAAGCCAACCCGUUUGACAUUACUUCAGCUCCUUCUAAAUAUGGGACAGUUCACGAUGCCAUUUGUGCGCGGGGCGGCAGGAACGCAAAGCCGUCCAGGGAAACCGAGGAAAGAAUCAGCCCGACGUCGUCUCUGAGGAAUGAGCGUUUAAAAAACUCACAGAGGCCGGGACUUUAUUGGCCCUUUCCCAUGCUCUGGGGGGGGAUGUAAACUAUUUUGUGACUGAUGAAUUUUUAUAACCAGAACAAGACUGAGGGAUGAUUACCCUCUGUGAUUAUCUCAGGAACAUGAACAUGAUGUACCUUUCAGGACUGGUUAUGUAAACUUGGGUGAGAAGGUCUUAAAAUACAACAGAGGAAGAUACUGCAGCAAUAUAGCAUUAUGAAAACAGUAUGAUUCAUGGUGACUCUGACCAGCAACUGGAUUUAGCCACGCUUUGCCAUGACUGCAUCUUCCGUUCAGACCUCGGCCUGUUUUUAAUUGCUAGUGAAUACACAUAGCGAAUACAUACAUUUUUCCAUCUCUAGAAAUAUAUUUGGAAAAAAUAAAUGAGUAGGAAGACAGAGAAACA
ensembl:lncRNA